rnacentral:misc_RNA from 1 species
UCAAACUUGGUCAUUUAGAGGAAGUAAAAGUCGUAACAAGGUUUCCGUAGGUGAACCUGCGGAAGGAUCAUUAUCGUAUCUCGAACGGGGAGGUCCGGGUCGGCCCUGCACCGGCGGCGACGCCGUGCUGCGGGCUCCCGGCGCCCCUUCCAAACCAAACCCCUGUGAACCUCUGGGAAGGUGGGCGAGCGGAAACGCGGACCCGUCGGCCCCUUCUUCAUAAACUCUUGUCUGUUUAAAGAAUGAACGCGGACAUCGUCCGUCUAAAACAUGUAACAACUUUCAACAACGGAUCUCUUGGCUCUCGCAUCGAUGAAGAACGCAGC